CAGAAAGAGCCAUUCUUUUCAUGUGGUAUUUAGAAAAUGAACUAGCCUAAUGUAGUAGGUCAAUAAAUUACUACUGUCAAGCCAUCCGCUCUACACGGCGUAUAGUGGUACUUCGCUGUAUGAAGUUGUUGGAUAUUGGUGGAAACUGGAACACACUGUCGUAUGCGCCGGUCCAGAACAUUCCAAAAUGCUCAAUGGGUGACAUGUCAGGAUAUGCCUGCCCAUACCAACACCCCACCACCACCAUGGGCCACUCUGUUCACAAAGUUGACAUCGGCAAACCACUCACCCACCCGAUGCCAUAAGUGCUACAUGCCAUCUGCCCUGUACAGCUGAAACCGUGAUUCAUCAGUGAAGAGGAUUGUUCUCCAGUGUGCCAGUGGCCAUCGAAGGUGAGCCCACUCACGUUGAUUGUGAUGCCAACCUGCAGACAAAUCAAGACCCCGGUGAGGACAUUGAGCAUGCAGAUGAGAUUCCCUGAGGCGAUUUCUGACAGUUUGUGCAGAAAUUCUACGGUUGUGUAAACCAACUGUUUUAUCAGCUGUCUGUGUGGCUGGCCUCAGACGAUCCCGCAGGUGAAGAAGUUGGAUGUGGCGGUCCUGGGCUGGCGUGGUUACAAGCUGGAGGCGGCUUAUGGUGGAGAAAUGAACACCCAUUACUCUGGCAACAGCUCUGCAGGACAUUCCUGCAGUCACCAUGCCAAUUGCAUGAUCUCUUAACUCUUUAGGCAUCCGUGACGUGGUG